UACGGGGGGAGCAAGCGUUGUUCGGAUUUACUGGGCGUAAAGGGCGCGUAGGCGGCCACCGCAAGUCGACUGUGAAAUCUCCGGGCUUAACUCGGAAAGGUCAGCCGAUACUGCGGGGCUAGAGUGCAGAAGGGGCAACUGGAAUUCUCGGUGUAGCGGUGAAAUGCGUAGAUAUCGAGAGGAACACCUGCGGCGAAGGCGGGUUGCUGGGCUGACACUGACGCUGAUGCGCGAAAGCGUGGGGAGCGAACAGG
rnacentral:rRNA from 1 species